GGAGGCAGCAGUGGGGAAUUUUGGACAAUGGGGGCAACCCUGAUCCAGCCAUGCCGCGUGAGUGAAGAAGGCCUUCGGGUUGUAAAGCUCUUUCGGCCGGGAAGAAAUCGCAUCUCCUAAUACGGGGUGUGGAUGACGGUACUGGAAGAAGAAGCACCGGCUAACUACGUGCCAGCAGCCGCGGUAAUA
rnacentral:rRNA from 1 species